CAAAAUUUAGCAUAAAGUAAUGUGUCUCACUUACAUUGAGAAAAUAAUUAUAUUAGUUAAUUAGUUUUGA
rnacentral:tRNA from 1 species